AACGCUGGCGGCGUGCUUGAUACAUGCAAGUCAAGGAGAAUUCCCGACUUGUCGGGAUAGUAAACUGGCGAACGGGUGAGUAACACGUAGGUAAUCUACCCUCGGGAUCGGGAUAACCUCGCGAAAGUGGGGAUAAUACCGAAUAAAGUCUCGGUAUAAUUUGUCGAGAUGAAAGAUGGGGAUCUUCGGACCUAUUACCUGAGGAUGAGCCUGCGCCUGAUUAGCUAGUUGGUAGGGUAAAUGCCUACCAAGGCAACGAUCAGUAGCUGGUCUGAGAGGAUGAUCAGCCACAUUGGGACUGAGAUACGGCCCAGACUCCUACGGGAGGCAGCAGUGAGGAAUUUUGCGCAAUGGGCGAAAGCCUGACGCAGCAACGCCGCGUGACUGAUUAAGCUCUGAGGAGUGUAAAAGUCUGUCGUAGAGGAAGAAACUAUCCGAUAAGAAUAUUGUCGGAUACUGACGGUACUCUAUGAGAAAGCUCCGGCUAACUCCGUG
rnacentral:rRNA from 1 species